AUAUAUAGAUUCCAAGUAGUAAG
rnacentral:snRNA from 1 species